GAUGAACGCUGGCGGCGUGCCUAAUACAUGCAAGUCGAGCGAACGGACGAGAAGCUUGCUUCUCUGAUGUUAGCGGCGGACGGGUGAGUAACACGUGGAUAACCUACCUAUAAGACUGGGAUAACUUCGGGAAACCGGAGCUAAUACCGGAUAAUAUUUUGAACCGCAUGGUUCAAAAGUGAAAGACGGUCUUGCUGUCACUUAUAGAUGGAUCCGCGCUGCAUUAGCUAGUUGGUAAGGUAACGGCUUACCAAGGCAACGAUGCAUAGCCGACCUGAGAGGGUGAUCGGCCACACUGGAACUGAGACACGGUCCAGACUCCUACGGGAGGCAGCAGUAGGGAAUCUUCCGCAAUGGGCGAAAGCCUGACGGAGCAACGCCGCGUGAGUGAUGAAGGUCUUCGGAUCGUAAAACUCUGUUAUUAGGGAAGAACAUAUGUGUAAGUAACUGUGCACAUCUUGACGGUACCUAAUCAGAAAGCCACGGCUAACUACGUGCCAGCAGCCGCGGUAAUACGUAGGUGGCAAGCGUUAUCCGGAAUUAUUGGGCGUAAAGCGCGCGUAGGCGGUUUUUUAAGUCUGAUGUGAAAGCCCACGGCUCAACCGUGGAGGGUCAUUGGAAACUGGAAAACUUGAGUGCAGAAGAGGAAAGUGGAAUUCCAUGUGUAGCGGUGAAAUGCGCAGAGAUAUGGAGGAACACCAGUGGCGAAGGCGACUUUCUGGUCUGUAACUGACGCUGAUGUGCGAAAGCGUGGGGAUCAAACAGGAUUAGAUACCCUGGUAGUCCACGCCGUAAACGAUGAGUGCUAAGUGUUAGGGGGUUUCCGCCCCUUAGUGCUGCAGCUAACGCAUUAAGCACUCCGCCUGGGGAGUACGACCGCAAGGUUGAAACUCAAAGGAAUUGACGGGGACCCGCACAAGCGGUGGAGCAUGUGGUUUAAUUCGAAGCAACGCGAAGAACCUUACCAAAUCUUGGCAUCCUUUGACAACUCUAGAGAUAGAGCCUUCUCCUUCGGGGGACAAAGUGACAGGUGGUGCAUGGUUGUCGUCAGCUCGUGUCGUGAGAUGUUGGGUUAAGUCCCGCAACGAGCGCAACCCUUAAGCUUAGUUGCCAUCAUUAAGUUGGGCACUCUAAGUUGACUGCCGGUGACAAACCGGAGGAAGGUGGGGAUGACGUCAAAUCAUCAUGCCCCUUAUGAUUUGGGCUACACACGUGCUACAAUGGACAAUACAAAGGGCAGCGAAACCGCGAGGUCAAGCAAAUCCCAUAAAGUUGUUCUCAGUUCGGAUUGUAGUCUGCAACUCGACUACAUGAAGCUGGAAUCGCUAGUAAUCGUAGAUCAGCAUGCUACGGUGAAUACGUUCCCGGGUCU
rnacentral:rRNA from 1 species